rnacentral:tRNA from 1 species
GCGGCUGUGGCGUAAUUGGUAGCCGCGCUAGACUUAGGAUCUAGUGGAGAAAUCCGUGGGGGUUCGAGUCCCUUCAGCCGCA